rnacentral:tRNA from 1 species
AGAAGCAGCUUUUGCUUUGCACACCCGAUUUUGGGUCUGUAGCUCAGUUGGUUAGAGCGCACCCCUGAUAAGGGUGAGGUCGGCAGUUCGAAUCUGCCCAGACCCACCAGUUACCUGGUGAAGUUGGUCAGAGCGCGUACGACACCCGGAUACGGGGCCAUAGCUCAGCUGGGAGAGCGCCUGCCUUGCACGCAGGAGGUCAGCGGUUCGAUCCCGCUUGGCUCCACCACUUACUGCUUCUGUUUGAAAGCUUAGAAAUGAGCAUUCCACCCCGAGAGAUUGAAGGGUGCGUGAAUGUUGAUUUCUAGUCUUUGAUUAGAUCGUUCUUUAAAAAUUUGGGUAUGUGAUAGAAAGAAAUAUAGACCGGGCACCUCUUUCACUGGUGCGUGUCCGGGCUAAGGUAAAGUUUGUGAAAUGCAAACUUUCGG